rnacentral:rRNA from 1 species
UACGAGCCGUCCAAACGUUAUUCGGAUUUAUUGGGCUUAAAGGGUAUGUAGGCGGCCCUUCAAGUCGGGUGUGAAAGCCCUCGGCUCAACCGAGGAACUGCGCCCGAUACUGUGGGGCUCGAGGGAGACAGAGGUAAGCGGAACUGAUGGUGGAGCGGUGAAAUGCGUUGAUAUCAUCAGGAACACCAGUGGCGAAAGCGGCUUACUGGGUCUCUUCUGACGCUGAGAUACGAAAGCUAGGGGAGCGAACGGG